rnacentral:rRNA from 1 species
GACGAACGCUGGCGGCGUGCUUAACACAUGCAAGUCGAACGGAAAGGCCCCCACUUUUUUGGUGGGGGUGCUCGAGUGGCGAACGGGUGAGUAACACGUGGGUGAUCUGCCCUGUACUUCGGGAUAAGCUUGGGAAACUGGGUCUAAUACCGGAUAGGACCAUGGUUUAGUGUCUCAUGGUGGAAAAAUUAUUGUUUUGGUGCAGGAUGAGCUCGCGGCCUAUCAGCUUGUUGGUGGGGUAAUGGCCUACCAAGGCGUCGACGGGUAGCCGGCCUGAGAGGGUGGACGGCCACAUGGGGACUGAGAUACGGCCCAGACUCCUACGGGAGGCAGCAGUGGGGAAUAUUGCACAAUGGGCGCAAGCCUGAUGCAGCGACGCCGCGUGGGGGAUGACGGCCUUCGGGUUGUAAACUCCUUUCGUUAGGGACGAAGCCGCACCUUUUUUGGGUGUGGUGACGGUACCUUUGUUAAGAAGCACCGGCUAACUACGUG